UGGGGGACAACAUUCCGAAAGGAAUGCUAAUACCGCAUACGUCCUACGGGAGAAAGCAGGGGAUCUUCGGACCUUGCGCUAAAUGAUGAGCCUAAGUCGGAUUAGCUAGUUGGUGGGGUAAAGGCCUACCAAGGCGACGAUCUGUAGCGGGUCUGAGAGGAUGAUCCGCCACACUGGGACUGAGACACGGCCCAGACUCCUACGGGAGGCAGCAGUGGGGAAUAUUGGACAAUGGGCGCAAGCCUGAUCCAGCCAUGCCGCGUGUGUGAAGAAGGCCUUUUGGUUGUAAAGCACUUUAAGCGAGGAGGAGGCUCUCUUAGUUAAUACCUAAGAUGAGUGGACGUUACUCGCAGAAUAAGCACCGGCUAACUCUGUGCCAGCAGCCGCGGUAAUACAGAGGGUGCGAGCGUUAAUCGGAUUUACUGGGCGUAAAGCGUGCGUAGGCGGCUUUUUAAGUCGGAUGUGAAAUCCCCGAGCUUAACUUGGGAAUUGCAUUCGAUACUGGGAAGCUAGAGUAUGGGAGAGGAUGGUAGAAUUCCAGGUGUAGCGGUGAAAUGCGUAGAGAUCUGGAGGAAUACCGAUGGCGAAGGCAGCCAUCUGGCCUAAUACUGACGCUGAGGUACGAAAGCAUGGGGAGCAAACAGGAUUAGA
rnacentral:rRNA from 1 species